rnacentral:tRNA from 1 species
GUCACGGUGGUCCACUGGUUAAGGCAUUGGACUCUAAAUCCAAUGGGGUUUCCCUGCACAAGUUCAUAUCCUGUUCUUUAUG